GUGGCUACUUUGGCAGCACAUAGACUGAAAUUGGAAUGAUACAGAGAAGAUUAGCAUGGCCCCUGCAAAAGGAUGACCCAGAAAUUAACGAAGCAUUCCAUAUUCUG
ensembl:snRNA U6 U6 spliceosomal RNA